GAAUAAAAUUGCUGAAAGCGAAAUGGAUUUUACGGUACAACCAGAAAUUAACGAGAAUUUAAGAUUGUAAUUUUUAAAAAACAUUUCACUCAUUACUCACGUAUUAAACAUGAAUAUUAGUAGAACAUAACUCCAGAUUCAAAGACAGGUGAACAGUUAGUAUUUUGUCAAGGCACCAUGGG